AUUUCUGGGUUUUACCCACCAAUCAAACGUUUGGCCCUCUUGAUUAGGUAUUUCUGGGUUUUACCCACCAAUCAAACGUCUGGCCCUCUUGAUUAGGUAUUUCUGGGUUUUACCCACCAAUCAAACGUCUGGCCCUCUUGAUUAGGUAUUUCUGGGUUUUACCCACCAAUCAAACGUCUGGCCCUCUUGAUUAGGUAUUUCUGGGUUUUACCCACCAAUCAAACGUCUGGCCCUCUUGAUUAGGUAUUUCUGGGUUUUACCCACCAAUCAAACGUCUGGCCCUCUUGAUUAGGUAUUUCUGGGUUUUACCCACCAAUCAAACGUCUGGCCCUCUUGAUUAGGUAUUUCUGGGUUUUACCCACCAAUCAAACGUCUGGCCCUCUUGAUUAGGUAUUUCUGGGUUUUACCCACCAAUCAAACGUCUGGCCCUCUUGAUUAGGUAUUUCUGGGUUUUACCCACCAAUCAAACGUCUGGCCCUCUUGAUUAGGUAUUUCUGGGUUUUACCCACCAAUCAAACGUCUGGCCCUCUUGAUUAGGUAUUUCUGGGUUUUACCCACCAAUCAAACGUC